GACGAACGCUGGCGGCGUGCUUAACACAUGCAAGUCGAACGGAAAGGCCCUGCUUUUGUGGGGUGCUCGAUUGGCGAACGGGUGAGUAACACGUGAGUAACCUGCCCUUGACUGUGGGAUAAAUUCAGGAAACUGGGGCGAAUACCGGAGAGGAUCUCCUGCUGCAUGGGGGGGGUUGGAAAGUUUCGGCGGUGUGGGAUGGACUCGCGGCUUAUCGGCUUGUUGGUGGGGUAGUGGCUUACCAAGGUUUUGACGGGUAGCCGGCCUGAGAGGGUGGCCGGCCACCUUGGGACUGCGGUACGGCCCAGACUCCUACGGGAGGCAGAAGUGGGGAAUCUUGCGCAGUGGGCCGACGCCUGUUGCAGCAACGCCGCGUGCGUGAUGACGGCCUUCGGGUUGUAAACCGCUUUCGCCUGUGACGAAGCGUGAGUGACGGUACUGGGUCAAGAAGCACCGGCUAACUACGUG
rnacentral:rRNA from 1 species